GACGAACGCUGGCGGCGUGCUUAACACAUGCAGGUCGAACGGAAAGGCCCUGCUUUUGUGGGGUGCUCGAGUGGCGAACGGGUGAGUAACACGUGAGUAACCUGCCCUUGACUUUGGGAUAACUUCAGGAAACUGGGGCUAAUACCGGAUAGGAGCUCCUGCUGCAUGGUGGGGGUUGGAAAGUUUCGGCGGUUGGGGAUGGACUCGCGGCUUAUCAGCUUGUUGGUGGGGUAGUGGCUUACCAAGGCUUUGACGGGUAGCCGGCCUGAGAGGGUGACCGGCCACAUUGGGACUGAGAUACGGCCCAGACUCCUACGGGAGGCAGCAGUGGGGAAUAUUGCACAAUGGGCGGAAGCCUGAUGCAGCAACGCCGCGUGCGGGAUGACGGCCUUCGGGUUGUAAACCGCUUUCGCCUGUGACGAAGCGCGAGUGACGGUAAUGGGUAAAGAAGCACCGGCUAACUACGUG
rnacentral:rRNA from 1 species